UAAUGGGGGCUAAUACAUUGGUACCGCAAGAAGAAUAGUCGGUGAUAUGACCCUACCACAGGAAAUAUGUGGUCAUAGUUCCUGGCUGUUGAGUUGAAUCUGAUAAAUUGAAAGAAAUUAAGAUAUGAACGACAUUUGGUUUUGACAUUGUAUGUUUUUUUUAUAUAUAUAACUGAAAUAUGAAAUAGAGAACAAACUGAACUAUCGACCUAGCUAUGUUGAGGACCCCGCCAAUGGGGGCAGAUACGUUGGCAAUUGACUGUCCUGAGGGACUCACCGCAAGAAGAUUAGUCGGUGUUAAUGACCCCGCCACAGGAAACAUGUGGUCAUAGUCCAGGAUCGACAUGAUAAAUUGAAUAUAUGAAAGAAUCUUGAAACCGUGAAAAGAAUCUUUUGAACUUAAAACAUAUAUGACUUAUACUUUGGAACUGCAUAUUUAUUUAUUUUCCACAUAUUAUUGCUUGAUUUAUCUAGCUAGAGUGUUCAUUACUUACUGGGCUGUCUAGCUCAUUAUACCAUCUCUUGUUGUUUUACAGAUU
rnacentral:lncRNA from 1 species